rnacentral:lncRNA from 1 species
GAAUGAAGAGGUUCUAAAUGUUAUCGAAUAUGCAAAAAUAAUGAUUGAUGAAGAGUAAACUUGCCUUAGAAGCUUUUAUGAGAUUGCAAUGUUAUCAUCUUAGUGUUAAAUUAAAAAUAAAAUAGUUAUAGUCUCUUACUCUUUUGGAGGAGCAACUUUACUUAUGAAUUGCCUAAAAUUAUCUUGAUAUUCUAGUGUUAUUUCAAUACUUAUUUUCAAAUUUAA